rnacentral:tRNA from 1 species
UUUUGAAAGUUCAUACUUUCAAAAUUUAAUGUGUGAGAAUUUUAUAACUCGCAAAAAGACAAGCAAAAAUGGGGGUGUAGCUCAGUUGGGAGAGCACUUGCCUUGCAAGCAAGGGGUCAGGAGUUCGACUCUCCUCAUCUCCACCAUUUGUACCUUGAAAACUGAAUAAUUUAGUGAUUACAAGAGACAUCUAUCAAGUUGAACUUGAUAAAAUAUAUGAGAGAAAACUCAUUAAAAAACACCAAUUAUUCUUUUAACACUGGUCGAAAGACCAAAAUUAGAAAAAUCUCAUUAAUAACU